rnacentral:rRNA from 1 species
UGCCAGCAGCCGCGGUAAUACAGAGGAUCCAAGCGUUAUUCGGAAUCAUUGGGUUUAAAGGGUCCGUAGGCGGGUUAAUAAGUCAGUGGUGAAAGUCUGCAGCUCAACUGUAGAAUUGCCAUUGAUACUGUUAACCUUGAGUAAUUAUGAAGUGGUUAGAAUAUGUAGUGUAGCGGUGAAAUGCAUAGAUAUUACAUAGAAUACCGAUUGCGAAGGCAGAUUACUAACAAUUAACUGACGCUGAGGGACGAAAGCGUGGGUAGCGAACAGGAUUAGAUA